rnacentral:rRNA from 1 species
AACGAACGCUGGCGGCAGGCUUAACACAUGCAAGUCGAGCGCCCCGCAAGGGGAGCGGCAGACGGGUGAGUAACGCGUGGGAACAUACCCUUCGGUUCGGAAUAACUCAGGGAAACUUGAACUAAUACCGGAUACGGACGAGAGUCGAAAGAUUUAUCGCCGAAGGAUUGGCCCGCGUUCGAUUAGCUAGUUGGUGUGGUAACAGCGCACCAAGGCGACGAUCGAUAGCUGGUCUGAGAGGAUGAUCAGCCACAUUGGGACUGAGACAGGCCCAAACUCCUACGGGAGGCAGCAGUGGGGAAUAUUGGACAAUGGGCGCAAGCCUGAUCCAGCCAUGCCGCGUGAGUGAUGAAGGCCUUAGGGUUGUAAAGCUCUUUCGCUAGGGACGAUAAUGACGGUACCUAGAUAAGAAGCCCCGGCUAACUUCGUGCCAGCAGCCGCGGUAAUACGAAGGGGGCUAGCGUUGUUCGGAAUUACUGGGCGUAAAGCGCGUGUAGGCGGGCUUUUAAGUCAGGGGUGAAAUGCCGAGGCUCAACCUCGGAACUGCCUUUGAUACUGGAAGUCUUGAGUCCGGGAGAGGUGAGUGGAACUGCGAGUGUAGAGGUGAAAUUCGUAGAUAUUCGCAAGAACACCAGUGGCGAAGGCGGCUCACUGGCCCGGAACUGACGCUGAGACGCGAAAGCGUGGGGAGCAAACAGGAUUAGAUACCCUGGUAGUCCACGCUGUAAACGAUGGAUGCUAGCCGUUGGGGAGCUUGCUCUUCAGUGGCGCAGCUAACGCUUUAAGCAUCCCGCCUGGGGAGUACGGUCGCAAGAUUA